rnacentral:rRNA from 1 species
UACGAAAGGGGCUAGCGUUUUUCGGAAUUACUGGGCGUAAAGCGCACGUAGGCGGCCUUGUAAGAUGGGGGUGAAAUCCCCGGGCUCAACCCGGGAAUUGCCUUCAUGACUGCAAAGCUCGAGGAUGCGAGAGGUGAAUGGAAUUCCGAGUGUAGAGGUGAAAUUCGUAGAUAUUCGGAAGAACACCAGUGGCGAAGGCGAUUCACUGGCGCAUUUCUGUCGCUGAGGUGCGAAAGCGUGGGGAGCAAACAGG